rnacentral:siRNA from 1 species
UGAGUGUGCUAGUGCACCGGGUCC